ensembl:lncRNA
GGGCUCCUAAGCAGACUGUGACCACACUCGAAUCCACAGUCUGGGGUAGUUCACACAAAGGCUGAGAAGUGAAGAUGAUCCAGUAUUACAUUAAACUUCCCCAUAAAUCAUUUUUAAGGAACACUUACACCAAGAUGGCAGCUGGGCGGGAGUGGACUUGUGGAACAGUGAGGUGGAGACCAGAGCCCCAAAAGCCUCAAGGAUACAGUAAUGGGCCCUCAAGUAAAUAUCAAUCAUCAUCAAAACAAAGCACCCAAAUUUGUGAAAGCUGCCAAGAUCCACACACUAGAUCACUGGGUAUGUAGGACAACUACCUGAAUAGUAGCCUAGACCUACAAGGGACUCUGUAUGAAAAAAAGAUAAGCUUUUGUUAUGCUAAGGAGACCUGGGUGCUGCUUUUUAUAGCAAUGUAACUUAGUUUAACCUAACUAACUCAGUCCACUUUUCCAAAUUAUUAAUCACCAAGUUCUCUUAAUUUCAUCUCAUCGGUAUUUCUCAAAUCUACCAACAAACUGUAACCACUGUCACUACCUUACAUCAGGUUAUCAUUUCUUGGCUGUCUUAAUGGAACAGGUCUCCCUACCUCUCAUCUGGAUCCUUUCUAAUCCAUUUUCUAUAUAGCCAGAGUCAUCAUUCUAAAGUGCUCAGACUUUAUCUAAAACCAAACAAUGGUUCCCCAUUGUUCCCAGGGGAAUAAGAGUUCCUUAAAAUAAGUGUUCCUUCAAAGCUCUCAGUAAUCAGACCUCUGUUUACUUCUCCAGGCUGGUCUCUUGACAUCUCUCUCUCUCUGCUUCAUAACCAUCUGACCUCCCUGGAACUACCAACGUGUAGGUUCAUCAUUUCUUCUUCCUAGAACACUGUUGCCACCUUGCCCAACUUUCUCACUUAAUCCCUUAGUAACCUAUUCAGCCAACACCUCCUUUCUUGUGGUCUUAAGGCUGGAUUGAAUGUUCCAGAGCCAACCUCUGCUCACCCCUAUUAGUGAUCAUUUCUUUGGGACAUAUAACUGUCUCUCUGCUUGAUACUUCUCUGCUAGAGUAAGAGAACUUUGACAUAGGGACCAUUUUCUAGUUGUUAUUCCAUCCUCAGGGUUAGCACACAGUAAACCUUUAAGGAGUAUUUGUCAAAUUACAAAUGAAUGAAUGAAGACUUAAAUCUAAGAAGCCUCUCUCCCAGCUUUCCUUCCCAGUUAUUUUAGGCAUUAAAAAAAAAAAGGAAAGAGNNNNNNNUUCAAGUCUGAUCAAUCUGGCUUCAAAUUCUUCUUCUACCACUUGCAAACUGUGUGACCCCAGGCAAACAACUUAAUCUUUCUUAGCCCCCAAAUCUCCAUUUGGGAAAUGUAAUCACAUUUCCAUGGAGUAAUCACAUCUCCAUGAUGGAACUGUAAAACUUGGAGUCAUGAGCACAGAACAGCCACAGAGUGACAGGCACAAAGUGAAUGCUAACUAUAAAAGGUAGGGGUAAUAUUAUUCUUGUUAUUAUUGAUCACAUAAAAACUAGUCCAAUGGCAGCGGUGGAAAUGCACUUACUUGGAAAUGAGAUGAACUUUUAUUCCAAGCAGGAACAGAGAAUAAACAAUUAGACUGGAAAUGAAUCCAGGGAACUAUAUGGGAGAUAAUGGACCUCUUCUCAGCAACCCUGCCAGCCUCCUCUGUCCUCCUCGUCCUUUAUAGUUUUCUAAAUACAUUCAUUUUUUAAGCUACUCCCAAAGUUCUUUCCUUUCUUGCCUCUUAGGACUCCUGUCAUUAACCCCUGCAUUCUCCAUGUUUUUGUCCUCCGUCAUCUUUAAAACUCCUCUCUGCAAAUUUCCUUUUUGAUAGCCCUGACCAAGAGAAAGCAGGCUGUCAAUGACCAUAAGUAAGACUGACCAAUCCAUCCUGACUUAAAACACUAUGUCUUAAUCCCAGGUCUUCAAAAGUCCAUAUCAGUCAUUUCGCACACGUUGCUUGAAUACCUACAGAGCGAGGCCUGGGGCACUGAGCUAGGUGCUUCUUUCUUCUCUAAACAAACAUUAAUUAGUUACAGACUACUGGCCACAUCUAAUUAGAAUAAAAUUUCUCGGAGAAAAGCCAGUCCCCUUCCACACUGAGGCUUCCUCCAUACCCAGACAGAGGGGGUUUAUUUUGUUAUUGUUGUUUUGAAUAAAUCACAUAACAAAUGGUAGUACACAUGAUAUUUCAGUUUUGUAUACAUGAAAAUAGGCAAUUUUUCGUGAAAAUUAGGCAUUCGUUUGGUUGAACCAAAGGCAUAAGGACUUGCACGCUUGUCUGACUCUUUGCAGCACCGUGCACUGGAGCCCACCAGGCUCUUCUGUAUGUGGGCUUUUCCAGGCAAGAACAUGGGAGUGGGUUGCCAUUUCCUUUUUCAGGGGAUCUUCCCAACCUAGAGAUUGAGCGAGCUUAAGUGUCCUGCAAGUCUGCAUUGCAGGCAGAUUCUUUACCAUUGAUCUACCAGGGAGAGAAGUAUAGAACAGUGUCAUAUAUUAAAGCACAUGGUAAUAGUUUUAGGUAUUAUAUUGCUUUGUAUAUUUUGAAAUAAUAUUUGGGUAUAUUGGGUAAAAGGUAUUAUUAAAAUGAAUUUCAUUUACUUUUUAAAUUUUCUUAAUUGAAGCCUAGUUCCUAUGAUUUAGUAAUUAAUUUAGGGGUGUGUGUAUGUAUGUAUGCGUGUGCAUGCUACCACAGAUUCUUAUUAAAAUUUUCAAAUGUGAAAGUUGGAUUUUUCNNNNNNNNNNNNNNNNNNNNNNNNNNNNNNNNNNNNNNNNNNNNNNNNNNNNNNNNNNNNNNNNNNNNNNNNNNNNNNNNNNNNNNNNNNNNNNNNNNNAGAUUCUUAUUAAAAUUUUCAAAUGUGAAAGUUGGAUUUUUCCAAUAGUGGCCUCUGGUUAACUUAGUCAAUGAACUUUCAAAAUUUAUGGUUGGCCCACUUAAUUAAACAGAGGUGAAUGUCUAUUUCCUAAUUUGUUGUUUGACCCUAUGAAAACUGCUUAAUUUCUUAUCUUUUCUAUUUAAAUAACU